CAUUCACCAUCCAACGAGUUCUCUGUAUUUUCUUUGUAUUUGAUUUUCUUAAUGUACAUAGAGGUUACCUGUAUCUAUGAUGAAAGAUGAAAGGCUUGUUUCUCAUGAACAUUCGCAGUGGCCGCCUGAUCGAACUUUCGCCUUCGCCAGGCUUGAGAGUUAAUGUUGCUCCAUCCUUCCUUCCUUGGAUGUCUGAGAUCCUCCUCCUCUUUUUUCAAUAAACAUUCGCAGUGGCCGACUAAGAGCUUUCGCCUUCGCCAGGCUCGAGAGCUUAUGCUGUCUUGCUCCUUCCUUCCUUGGAUGUCUGAAGUUU